AGUGAACGCUGGCGGUAGGCCUAACACAUGCAAGUCGAACGGCAGCACAGUAAGAGCUUGCUCUUACGGGUGGCGAGUGGCGGACGGGUGAGGAAUACAUCGGAAUCUACUUUUUCGUGGGGGAUAACGUAGGGAAACUUACGCUAAUACCGCAUACGACCUACGGGGGAAAGCAGGGGAUCUUCGGACCUUGCGCGAUUGAAUGAGCCGAUGUCGGAUUAGCUAGUUGGCGGGGUAAAGGCCCACCAAGGCGACGAUCCGUAGCUGGUCUGAGAGGAUGAUCAGCCACACUGGAACUGAGACACGGUCCAGACUCCUGCGGGAGGCCGCAGUGGGGAAUAUUGGACAAUGGGCGCAAGCCUGAUCCAGCCAUACCGCGUGGGUGAAGAAGGCCUUCGGGUUGUAAAGCCCUUUUGUUGGGAAAGAAAAGCAGCAGGUUAAUACCCCGCUGUUCUGACGGUACCCAAAGAAUAAGCACCGGCUAACUUCGUG
rnacentral:rRNA from 1 species